rnacentral:lncRNA from 1 species
UUAAGUAUAUAAACACCGUAAGAUGGUGGCAAGGGAACGUCGCCAUUUAAAAAUGGAUAAUUAACGAUAGGAAAUGGAAAAUCAUCUCUUUUACCAUAAAUUUUAGUAGUAAGCUUUCCGUUAGUGAUAUAGAUACCAAGAUCGAGGAAAGGACAGUGGUCAUUGUUAGUAUUAGCUUUAUUAAAAUUAAGUUCAACAGGAUAAAUUUCUUUAGUAUACAUACUUAAGUCGUCAUUAUUGAGAGCCAACUAUAUCUUGUUCGAUAUGGUUAAAAGAUCCGUCCUUGUUUACUGUGAACAUGGUGUUAAAUAAAUACCGAUAUCAGGAAAGCUCAAAAUCUAAAUUUAAAGCGAAUGAGGCAUAACAACUCGGAUACCUGAAGAGCUUUAUAAUCAAAAUAGACCCUACAAAAUAGCCCAAAAAACUGUAUUAAAAACACAUUGAACUUCAAGGUCUAUUAAAAAAAGUCUUUAGAACAUAACAGACGUUUGACAAAUCCAGCACAAGGACAUGUUUGGGUGAGGAAGUUGAAACAGACUUUAAUUCUUACUAUCGGUCAAUGUAUUAACGGAGAAUUAUAAAGAAUAUAUGACAAAACCAUACCAAAAUAAAAUGUAACCAACCAAAAAAAACCCAACUCGUAUGUAAACUGAACGAUAUUACGAAUAAACUCAUCAUAGAUACCAGGACUAAAUUUUGUAUAUACGCCAGACGCGCGUUUCGUCUACAAAAGACUCAUCAGUGACGCUCGAAUCCAAAAAAAUAAAAAAGGCCAAAUAAAGUACGAAGUUGAAGAGCAUUAAGGACCUGCCUUGUUUGCUUCAAUUGUUUAUUUUUUACGUAUGUUUACGUUUUCCAGGA